UGGGGAAUCUUGCGCAAUGGACGAAAGUCUGACGCAGCGACGCCGCGUGGGGGAUGAAGGCUUUCGGGUUGUAAACCCCUGUUGCCCGGGACGAACUUCUCCUUUCGAGGAGAUUGACGGUACCGGGUGAGGAAGCACCGGCUAACUCUGUGCCAGCAGCCGCGGUAAUACAGAGGGUGCGAGCGUUGUCCGGAAUCACUGGGCGUAAAGGGCGCGUAGGUGGCGCGACAAGUCCGUGGUGAAAGCUCGAUGCUUAACAUCGAGUCGGCCACGGAUACUGUUGGGCUUGAGCACUGUAGAGGCUAAUGGAAUUCCGGGUGUAGCGGUGGAAUGCGUAGAGAUCCGGAAGAACACCGGUGGCGAAGGCGGUUAGCUGGGCAGUUGCUGACACUGAGGCGCGACAGCGUGGGGAGCAAACAG
rnacentral:rRNA from 1 species